GCCGGGUGUGGUGGCACACGCCUGUAAUCCCAGCUACUUGGGAGGCUGAGGCAGGAGAAUCACUUGAACCCAGGAGGCUGAGGUUGUAGUGAGCUGAGAUCAAGCCACUGCACUCCAGCCUGGGCGACAGAGUGAGACUCUGACUCAA
rnacentral:SRP_RNA from 2 species